AUGGCUAUACUUUAAAGGUAAUAUAUCUGUUUUCUAAAUAGAGAGUCUUGAUUCGAUUUCGACUAGUCGUA
rnacentral:tRNA from 2 species